rnacentral:piRNA from 1 species
UUUUGGUUUCUAGACCUGUGUCAAUUUCACCC